ACACAUAGUUACAUCCUAUAAACGUAUGAGGCUUAGCUAUUGGAUAGCCUUUAUUUGUAUCAAUGUAACUAACGUGAAGGAUGCAUAUUUAAAUCGUUAGUCACUUAACUAUUUCAAUAAAUCUUCAAACGACGCUUUAACUUGAGGAGCAAGAUAGAAUAGAUAUGUCUUUCACGGAACUUGCACACUGGAAUCGCAAAUUAGAAGUAGACAAGGACUUCAUAAUAAAGGGUCGUUGCAAAGUUAUAGAAGAAGCGGAGAAACCAGGCGGAUAUUCAAUUAACUUCCAGCAAACUAAAGACGAACAGAACGGCAUUAUUUUGCAUUUCAAUCCAAGAGCUCCAUCGCAGUCUCUUGUUUUGAAUACACUUCAAAAUGAAAACAACCAAAAAAAAUGGGGUCAUGAGAAAAAGAUUGUGGAUAACAGCGUCAAGGAAACUUUUUUUGUGAAUGAAUUCAAGCUGAAAGUUAGACCUCUAGCAGAAAACUUGAUUAGUCUGUCUGUGAAUGGCGAAUUCCUAACUGAAUAUGAAUGCACAGGCAAAAGGAUUACAGAUGCCAAAUUCUUAGUUUACUCACCAUCUAUUUUAAUUCAGCCAGAAUAAAGAAAUCAGGGAAUCCGUUAAGAAAUGUGUAGAAUUCAAUAAACAAUUUAAUCAAAAUGAUCUGCAUUAAUCAUAAUCAAUGAAAACGGUAAAGAUUUAUUAAUUGCUACUAUUCUUUUAAGCGGAUUGAUUAGAAGUUUGUAUUUUCAUUCCUAAACAAUAAAACAAAGUUUCAAAUUUG